UUUUUUUUAAGAUUUUUAUUUUCAUUCUGAUCCAACUAAUUCUCCUUUCAUUUUAUUACAAAAAAACUCUUUUGUUCACAAGGAAAACCAAAUCUUAACAAUACAGUCACCUCUCUUUGGUACUUCAAUCCAGACAUACCAGAAUGCUUAGCAUAUAAACAUUUCUUUGCACAACUACCUGUUGAAAUACAACAACUCCCUUCAUCAUCAAAUAUUGUUUUAUCGAUAGAGGAACAAAUCAAAGAAAAUAGAAGAACAAUACAUGAGAUUCUUUGUAUGAAUCCUUAUGAGCACAAGCAUCUAAGAUUCACCUAUCAAGCUUUGAUUGUUGACUUUGAUUUUCCCAAUGGCUGGUGGUAUCCAAGCUGUCCAAAAUGCAACAAAAAACUUAGUGGGGGUGA